rnacentral:rRNA from 1 species
AUUGAACGCUGGCGGCAGGCCUAACACAUGCAAGUCGAGCGGAUGAAGGGAGCUUGCUCCUGGAUUCAGCGGCGGACGGGUGAGUAAUGCCUAGGAAUCUGCCUGGUAGUGGGGGAUAACGUCCGGAAACGGGCGCUAAUACCGCAUACGUCCUGAGGGAGAAAGUGGGGGAUCUUCGGACCUCACGCUAUCAGAUGAGCCUAGGUCGGAUUGGCUAGUUGGUGGGGUAAAGGCCUACUAAGGCGACGAUCCGUAACUAGUCUGAGAGGAUGAUCAGUCACACUGGAACUGGGACACGGUCCAGACUCCUACGGGAGGCAGCAGUGGGGAAUAUUGGACAAUGGGCGAAAGCCUGAUCCAGCCAUGCCGCGUGUGUGAAGAAGGUCUUCGGAUUGUAAAGCACUUUAAGUUGGGAGGAAGGGCAGUAAGUUAAUACCUUGCUGUUUUGACGUUACCAACAGAAUAAGCACCGGCUAACUUCGUG